AGGAAAGGUGAGAUUUGAAUUUUGAUCCCACCAGUGAGCUGGAGGCACAACGGAAUGGCAGCCUAGAACAAGCAGUAUAAGAAAAGCACCAUUUAUGGGGUGUUGGCUGGGCUCCAUGAAGGCGUUUCAGGGCUACACAUGGAAGGCACUCCUGGUGUAUCUCCGGGAACGCAGGAGAUCCCUACCAAGCAGGUAGUCAAAUUCCAAGCCUCACGCCCCACCUGCCCCUUGUGGCCCGAUCUACUUAGCCUGACCUCAAGGCCUGGCAUUCUGUCUCAGAUCCAAGUUCCUGCUCCUUCAGGCCUGCGUCUUGUCCUGCACAUCAUACACCUGUCAACCCGGACUAUUCACUCUUCCCAGAACCUCCUCUGUGCUUUUUCACCUCUGUGCCUUUGUUCAGGAUGUCCCUACAGCUGGAAUGCUCAUCAGCACCACCUUAGUUCUAUUCCUGCAACUGCUUCUGGUCCAGGACACAAAAGGAAACCCAUUCGAAGCAUUCAGUAUCAAUCCCAAGUCGUAUCUUGACC
rnacentral:lncRNA from 1 species